ensembl:lncRNA
GACAUGAGUUUUUUUAGUUCAUUGUCCUAGAAAAUAGUAAUUGUCAGUUUGCAAGUGUAUUUGUGUAUGUCUAUGAAUGUUUACAUAAAUGGUAUUAUAUUGUCAAAUCAACACCGAACUUGAUUUUUGUUUCCAGAGCUAUGCCCAGGAGACUGUUCCAUGAGGCACAUAAAGAACCACGGAUUUUCCAGUCCCCUGCAAAGUAGCUCAUUGUGGCUCUGUAACUUGUACACCUUUUCUCCUGUGGGUGGACUGGAUGCUUAUAUAAAUUUUGACUUUUCAUUUUAUAAACAGUACUACAGAAUUCCGGCAGUGGCAGAGGAUAGAGAAAUCCAGGACCUAUCUCAAUGCUCCAUGCGAAAGCCCUGUGGAAAGUUGCUUCUCCUAGUGUGGCUCGUGAUGGUUUUGCACAUUCAGAUUUGAGGAUUGUGGAUGCCCAAGAUUGCAUAAGGGAGGAGUCUGGAUCCCUGAGUCACAGUUUGGAGGACAGCCACUCACGGGACCCAGCUGAACAGACCCUCUGGCAUGGGAUUUUAUGGAAGGGAAAAGGUUCAGAACUGGCCAGGUGAUGUUUUUAUUGGGAGGAAAGCUUGGAGAAUCAACAGGAGAAACAGAAAAGAACUUGCAGAACAACCCCUGGGCUACUGAGUUGAGAAAUUGGAGGCUUACUUUCCCACGCUGUCAAAUGGACUUCGGGAUUGACACAGCCUUGGUGUGUCUGCUUAUUAAAUAAUUGGGAGGAUGGGGUAGUUUUGAGAGUUUUCUAAUUUGAAAAUUGGGCUUUGGGCAGGUUGUGGAGUCAGGCAAUGUCUGGCCUGAAGCUCUCAAGGCUCGCAAGUGUGAAUGAGCUUGUUCUGUGGCCCUGGCUUUCACCUUGGGAGGAGAACACAGGGAGGCUCCUCUGGAGAGGUCUUGGCUUCUGCAGGUGCCGUUCUUUUUAAUUAGGGUGUGGGCUGAUGAGGCCAGCUCCACCCAGAGGCAUCGUGGGAAGGGGGUGAAACCCAUCUGACAUCAAACAAAUGGCUUUGGGUGAGAGCAUCUCCCAAAUUCAUAAUUGUGGGGCUCAUCGUGCCCAAAGGGAGCUUGAGAAUUUAGGAUGUGAUUCAGAAAGAUAUUUCCGACCUUCGCCGGAAAUGGGGAGAAAUCAGUUUUAUUUAUUAAUUCCAUCUUGCCAGCUCCCAAUUUGGUGCAAACAGUUAUGUUUUGCAGCACGUUUCCACCUUGCAACUAGCAGAGUUAAUUUAAUGAAAUGAGUAGUCUUGUGAUGACCUAAAGGGGGAAAACACAUUAAUCUGGAAACUAUCAAAGCCAUCUGACAUGUAUUAUUGUAGGACUCAGAAAAAAUAAACAGUUUAUGUAGAAGAUUAAGUGGCAGUGUGGAUUUGCUUUUGACAUAUCUUGUCUCCAAAUCUAAGCUGGGGAUUUAUUAUCACGCUAUCAUGUCACAGCUAUCUCAUUUAUAUGAUAACACAUCUGUAAUGUUUUACAAGUACAGCACUACUUGUUCGGAAUGGGGCUUUUUUAAGUCCUAAAUUAUAGUACCUGGAGAGGCAUGCAUAAUUAUAGUACGUGGUUAGCAAAUGAGAGGGUGCAUUUUCCUCCCGCACUCAGAAUUAAUCGUCAGCACGGCGGGGUGCAAUAAAAUCAUAAUUGCUUCUUCCAAACUCCUCAUCUGAGCUGUACAGGUUGAAGGCAGUGGUUGGGUGGAGAGAUGCCUCCUGCAUGGUGGGUGGAGGCCACACUGCCAUCUUCCAGCGGGUCGUUGGGUUGUAUGGCUGGAGAUAGCUUUCUGUUCAGACAGACGGCUAGACCCCGCCAGGGCUGUAUAGAAAGGUUCUUAAUUUGAACAGCACUUGAAACCAAGUCAGUACAUCGGAAACCAG